rnacentral:lncRNA from 1 species
GGCGUUAGUUUCGUUGGAUUUGGACAAACGAGUAAAAAGUUAUGGCUAUUUGAAAAAUCAGGGCCAUGCUAUUUUACGGAAGAAAAAAAUAGCUACGGGCUAGGGUCUAAUGUAUAAAUACGUAGACUAAUUGAUAAUCUAAUUAUUUUAUCAUAUUAGUCUAAAAAUAAUAAACUACGGAGGUAUAAGAAGAGAAAAACAAAGAAAGAUACCUUUAUAAGGCAGAGAAAAGACAACUUUGAAGAAAGGAGACAAUUUCCAAAAGUCGCACCGGAGAGGAGAAAUAUAUUUUUCUUAAAUGAAUCUAGUCAAACCAAAAUAUUGAUUUAACCCGAAUCGGAUGAUUUUUGGAGGCUCUAUGGGUCUAUAUUUAUUGGUGGAAAAGAGGCUUAGGGGUCAAAGGCUAGGCAAUGUGGGACUAAACGUAGACGAAAAUAUACGAAACAGAGAAGAAAAGAGGCGGGUGGGCCUAAAGGCCUUCGGCCGGCCGCGCGCACGCUGCGGUGCAGUCUUUUUUUUUACGAAAUUCGGCCUAAGAGAAAAAAAAGGCUGGCUGGGCCUGGCCUAUUUAAGAGAAAAAUAAUGGGGUGCCAGAAGCUACUAUACUGUGCAUGUAGGCGAUAAAUAAAUAUGGACCGCACAUACAGUCUUUUUUUAAAAUAGAAACAGAAGGAAAACCGAAUAACAAAAUAAAAUAAUAAUUUUAUAUAGGCAUAUUAUAUAUCAAAAUUUUCAGAAAAAGAUUUUCUACGACAUGAAAAUUUUUCUGGCAUUAAAUAAAAUACACACAAAUUCUAAUAAUUCUAACAGUGCUCCUGCUCUAAUAAGAUCCAACAAAAAUCAUUUUAAAAAUACCAAAAUGAAAUCAAAUUGAUUUCUCUCCAAUUUUCUGUUGUAGGGAAUCAUGUUACCCUAUUUUCCAUGUAUUUUAUUUUUGAAGAAAAAUGAUUUGAAUAAAAUCCAAAUAACUCCAAAUUGAAAAAUAUUUCCAAAAGAACUUUGAAUUUGAUCCUUUGAAACUCCCAACUCAUAUUUCAUAUAAUUUUAAGAAGUCAUUUUAUCUCCUCUCGUGAAAAUCAUUGAGUUGCAUAAAGUUUCAGAAUUGGAAAUAUUCUCAAAUGAAAUUCAAAUAGUUUCAACACCGCUUGUCAUUUAAAUAUAUGGAAGAAGUCAUGUCAUCUUCUCUCCAGGGUUUUGUGAUGAAAAGAAUUUGAAUUCAUGGGGAUCAAAAAGAAAAAGGUGAAAGUUUGGGAAAGUCCUUUUAUUCUCUCUCAUUUAACUUUCAAAAAGUUUUGAAUUUCACUCAAUCAAUCACACAACAAUCAAACAAUAAAUCAAUCAAUCUAUUUAUUUUAACAUUCCAAAAAUUAGAAUUUUGGGAUGUUACAAACCUACCACCCUUAAAAUGAAUCUCGUCCUCGAGAUUCAGAGAGGCUAGAAAGAAAUAGGUUGGGUUUGGGGUCUUCUCAAAAUCUCAUCAAUCGUCUCUAGGGUCUGGGGUGCUACCACCCUUAAAAUCAUUGUUACGGUUCCGUCAAAACUCAUAUACUCCAUCCUUAUUCUAGACAGUGUCGGUCUUCUCAGAUCGUAAUGAUAAUUCCUUCUCUGGGCUCUUCCGGUAGUGGCAUAACUUUUUUCCUCAAUUCUUUUGUAUCCUUUCUUCCGGGUAAGGUUAUUCCGAGACUGGGUCUUCUUAGCUGACGAGUCUGGCGCCAAAACUAAAUAACUAUCGAUAUCUCAUGGUGGUCAACAAUUUAUGGUUUCUCCUGCAGGAAAUGGGUCUGGGUUGAACCUCACCGUAUAACCUACGGUUGGCAACAACUGCCGUGUAGAAGGGAAAAAUUAUUAUACCAUUCUAAGGUUUGAACAGGAUUUUGAUCGCCGUCUCUCUACUAUAGGUAAGUCACUCAGAUUUACCAUCCCAUAUAGCAAGGCGAAUUAACUAUCAUGGUGGUUUUUGAACAUUGAGAAUGGUUGACAGCAUUCUCAAUCCCAAUUAAGUAACAUCAUUAAAACCCAACCAAUUAUUUAAGUAACGUGAUGAGAUCAACAUGAUAAUCCAAGAACUAGAUACUCAAGACGUCCAUAACCGGGGACACGGCUAAUCAUGAUUAGUUUAUACACUCUGCAGAGGUUGCGCACUUUUACCACAAGACUCGAUCGCCUCCGUUGUAUUUCUCACACUACAUGGUGUUUGAGAAACGGAUGACCGAGAUAUAGUCUUUCAGAAGCGCUAGCACCUUACGAUGGAUAGACUGUUACACCUACUUUCCCUUACAUCUACUAGUCUACCCUGUAAGAGUUCGCAUGACUUAAUCAACUAUGCUAGAGCCCAUAAUAACUUGUGGCUUCACACGGAAGUUUCUAGUAUGAAAAAUCUCAUGAUCCCUUUGACCCUGGGUGGCGGUCCAUUAAAAAAAUAGGCAAUCCUGGUCUACCCAGGUGCCUAGACAGGCAAUACUAGAAUAACCAGGUACCUCAAUCCACCCAGAUGUGUGUUUAAGUUGCCACCUUAGAUAAACCAUUAAUUAACAAACUCACUUCUUUCAUGGAUAUCACUCACCCAAUCCACGUCUACUAGCAUAGCAUGGCAUAAUAGGAAAACGUGAAAGUAACUCCCAAAGGUUUGAUACUACAACAGGUAAUAGGUACUACCUCAACUACUUCCCAAUCCCACAAUUUAACUAGAUCCUAAUCAUGCAAUGUUUCAGGAUUGAUCUAAUGCAAUAAAACUGGGUAUGAAAGAGGAUAUGAUCAAAGUCUGAACUUGCCUGCAAUGUUGAUGAAGAUGAUUCGCACUCAAAACUCUUGAUAGUUCUACUCGUCACACUCCGGUCAAUCGAUCGUAAGCAAGCAAUAGUAAUCACACAUAAGCAAUCACUCAAAGUAUCAGAAAGAACGAAGAAGACAAUUCGGAAAACAUCAAAACCAAUAAAAUAACUCUUGCAACAUAAAACAAUUUCUAACAGUACCAAAAUUAUAUGAAUUUGGCCUUAUCAAAAAGUUUAGGUCAAGAGUUUCGAUUUGCAAAAAGAAUCAACUCAAACGGAGCUACGAAACUCAAGUUAUGAUCAAACAAAGUUUGAAUUCAAAUCUGAUCUAAUUUAAAUUUUAAACUUUUCAAAAACAUGUUUGAGUUGGAUUACUGGAUAGAGGAGAUCAUAACGAAGAAGUGGGCGUUGGUUUCGUUGGAUUUGGACAAACAAGUAAAAAGUUAUGGCUAUUUGAAAAAUCAGGGCCAAGCUGUUUUACGGAAGAAAAAAAUAGCUACGGGCUAGGGUCUAAUGUAUAAAUACGUAGACUAAUUGAUAAUCUAAUUAUUUUAUCAUAUUAGUCUAAAAGUAAUAAACUACGGAGGUAUAAGAAAAAAAACAAAGAAAGAUACCUUUAUAA